CCUACGGGUGGCUGCAGUGGGGAAUUUUGGACAAUGGGGGCAACCCUGAUCCAGCCAUGCCGCGUGCGGGAAGAAGGCCUUCGGGUUGUAAACCGCUUUUGUCGGGGAAGAAAUCCUCUGGGCUAAUACCCCGGGGGGAUGACGGUACCCGGAGAAUAAGCACCGGCUAACUACGUGCCAGCAGCCGCGGUAAUACGUAGGGUGCAAGCGUUGAUCGGAAUUACUGGGGGCGGAGGGUGCGCACAGAGGUGAAAUCCCCGGGCUCAACCUGGGAACUGCAUUUGUGACUGCAUAGCUGGAGUGCGGCAGAGGGGGAUGGAAUUCCGCGUGUAGCAGUGAAAUGCGUAGAUAUGCGGAGGAACACCGAUGGCGAAGGCAAUCCCCUGGGCCUGCACUGACGCUCAUGCACGAAAGCGUGGGGAGCAAACAGGAUUAGAUACCCCAGUAGUC
rnacentral:rRNA from 1 species